GCACGGACCAAGGAGUUUAUCGUGUACGCAAGUCAUUGGGUGAGUAAAACCCAAAGGCGAAAUGAAAGUAAAGAGCUGAGUAUUGAGAAAAGAAUUUAUUUUUUUUCUUAUACCUCUCUUAAGGGAGGAUGGAAAUCGCAUUUAUAAUUAAUUGUAGUUUACUCUAUAGUAAUUGUAUAUGUUGGUUUCCCGCACUCCCGGGGCGCUUGUAUCACGCUUUGCGUGUCGAUGCGCACCUAGAGCGUACACGCUGAUACCCGAAAGAUGGUGAACUAUGCCUGGCCAGGACGAAGCCAGGGGAAACCCUGGUGGAGGUCCGCAGCGAUUCUGACGUGCAAAUCGAUCGUCGGAGCUGGGUAUAGGGGCGAAAGACCAAUCGAACCAUCUAGUAGCUGGUUCCCUCUGAAGUUUCCCUCAGGAUAGCUUGCGCUCGGUUGAGAAGAGUCUCAUCCGGUAGAGCGAAUGAUUAGAGGCAUUGGGGUCGAAACGACCUCAACCUAUUCUCAAACUCCAAAUAGAUGAGACCCCCGGCUUUCUUAAAAGUGAAGCCGUGGGAUUAGGAUCAGAGUGCCAAGUGGGCCAAUUUUGGUAAGCAGAACU
rnacentral:rRNA from 1 species